UAUGUAGGAUGCAAGCGUUGUCCGGAUUUACUGGGCGUAAAGCGCGCGCAGGCGGCACACCAAGUACCCUAUGAAAUCUCCUUGCUCAACGGGGAGGGUGUUGGGUAGACUGGUGAGCUAGAGGACGGUAGAGGGGGGUAGAAUUGCUGGUGUAGCGGUGAAAUGCGUAGAGAUCAGCAGGAAUACCCGUGGCGAAGGCGGCCCCUGGCCGUACCUGACGCUGAGGCGCGAAGGCUAGGGGAGCGAACGGGGAUUAAGAAACCCCGGUGAG
rnacentral:rRNA from 1 species